ACACUACUGAGGAGUCCCACAUAGAACGAAAUGGCCAUCCAGUGC
rnacentral:hammerhead_ribozyme from 1 species